UUCUAGAAAGAAGAGGAAUCGGUGACAGAUGGGUGAAUCCCAGAAGUUUGGUUCCUUAUCUGGUGUCUCUUACUUUAUGAACUUUUGUAUAUUCAAAAUUGGCCUACAAAGUUCAUGAGAACAGAAAACUCAUGAGAAAAGACUGUCUUGCAUGAUUUUGAGUAUUUUCCCCUUUUCACUUGGCUGAGGAUACAAUUUGAAUGGCGGACUUUGGCAUUCUUACUUGUAGAAGUUGCCAGAAAUUGGAAGCACAAAAACAUGAAAAAUGAAAAUAAAUUAGCCAAGAGUUUUGAAGCUAAAAAUAAUUUGGUUUGCAGAGUUCAAGUUUUAACAAAAGGUUCAGAGUCAGGAGCUGGAAAAUAUCUAAUUUGAUAUGGAUUAAAUUUAUCCAUUGAUACAGUUUUCUGAAGUUUUACAAUAUGGGCCUUGUAUUCAACAUGGGUCGAAAGAAAGGAGAGUUGUAUUUAUUCUGUCAAACUUCUGCUUGUCUGGGGACCAAUGAGCUCUGUUUCAUGCACCAGGUGCAUUCUUACACCACAGAAGUUAUGAUCACUAUCAUAAAGAGGAUGCACUGCAAGCAGGCAGAAAAAAGAGGUUUAUUUUCCAGAAAAUACAGUCACAAGGAGUGCUGGUGGCAGAUGCAGGUGCAGAAUUCUGUUUAGAAGCAGAUCACCACUAACCAUUUUUGGCCUUUAAGAACAAAGCUUUCUAACACUAUUAGUCCUAACAACAACCUUAACUGCAGAGGCUGGAGGCUGACUGUAAACCACAUGUGGUCAAGGGUUUCAAAGCAAACUGAGUGUUACAGAUGUGUGAUGAGGCUCAUAGUGAUGCUAAGUGCCAAUGCUUCUAAUAGGAGCUGCCUUCAGCCACCUCUUAAAAACCUUAGACUUUAUGAGAAACUACAAGGUGGGUUUUUUUUAAUGUGAUGGAAACUCUAAUUUAGUUUUCCAGAGUAUUUUUCUUUUGCCUAAAAUAGUGAUAAUGUAAGUCUAAAAAUAUUUUCUAUAGGAUUGGAUGGUGCCUAAUUUUUGUUACUAAAAAGAAUACCUGAAGAUAAUAUUGAAUUUUUUAUUGAAGUAAUAAUUUAAUUUUUCAAACAUGGAAUGAAAUAAUAGAAACAUGGACAUCUCAAUGCAACUUGGCUGUUCUAUACUCUUUUUAAACACCAUAUAAGAGUGAAAUACUGCACUCUGCUUACACUUGAGCAUUUGUUUUUGGAUUGUCUUCCUGCUGCUUAUAUUUGUAUGAGUUAUUAAUUUGAAUUUCUAGAUGAACCCAGAAAAGAAUUUAAAAAAACCCAUAAAUUCAAGAAUUCCAAAAUCCAUCUUAUAAUAAAUUUACUGGUAAAUGGAUAAUGUGCCAGAGCAGAAACAAAUCUGAAUAAUGGAGCACAGCACAAUCUUUCAAAGAGAAGUCAUAAAAACUUAAUGUGUCUGGAAGAAAAUGAAGCCCAAAUGUUUUACGUUACAUUUAGGAAGCCAGAGCAUUUUAAUAUGACUUAAAAUUUUUUACUGUAGAGUUUGUUGUAAUGCACAAUAUAAUUGCUAGAGGAAAACAGAAAUAUUUUAAAACAAACUGAAAGUAAAAUUAUGCUAGUUGCAAAUAAAGCUACUCACUGACUGUAAAAUAAAAUUGAUGCACAGAUGCUCAUACAAGUGCUUAGUAUUAUUGUGAAUAAUGUUCAAUGCAAAUGCAGAGAAUCUGGCAGUUAAAAGAGCCACAACAGCUAAAUUAAAGCCUGAACUAGUAGAACUUAGUAGAAAAAAGAUUUAAGAGUUUGGUAUGGCACUUCAGCUGUUUCGUAGACAAAUCUAAAACUUAGCACAAAGAACACAAGCCCUGGAGUCAGAUUAUGGAUCCAACCAAGGAUGAAGAGCACAAAUUUGAUAUUAAGAUUCUAAGCUGAAUGCCUUUUAUUUAUCUCUGCAAUUUAUGUCAAUAUGCAAUUAUAUGCACAUAUUAGGCGUUUUAGUACAAUUUAAAAAUCCCAUUUGCAUAAGCUAUUCACUUAUUUCUAGUUUUAUAUGCCUUCAUUUAAAUAUCUAGAAUGUUUCACUGCCUUUGGUGCCUUUAGUGACCUCUCUUGAUGAAGCAGGAGAUUGAGGUUUGUGGAGACAAAAGGUGGGGCCAGUCUCAAUCAGGGUCUGUUCACAUCAGACAGGGAAUAUAAGGAAGGUAAUCCAUGGAGCAAAAGGCCACUGAGAAGUGACAUCCAAGGAAAAUAAGGAGCAGAUUAUCUGUUAUAUUCACAGGGCUCUAUAGGGCAAAACUAGAGGCAUGCUAAAUUGAAAGCUUCUGCAUCAGUUUCAGAGAGGAAAGUAAAACUGAGGACAUCUUGGAAGUCUGCCACAGACCUGAUUGAUAGGAAACAGGGGAAGAAGCCUUCUCCAAACAAGAGUGGAAGCCUCCCACCUGCAGGCACCUGCAUUUAUGGGUGGUCUCAGCUGUCCAGACAAACUGCUAUGAGGUCACUGUGGCUUCAUGCAGACAGCCCCAGGCUGCACUGCGUGGGUGACACAUUUCCAACACAAAUGUUAGAGAGGCUGUCCGGGGGUGCUGCUCUCUAGGACUUACUGUCCACAGACUGAGAAGGACUGACAAACACAGUCACUGGUGGCAUCUUAACGUGCAGGGAGCACAAGACAAUGAAGCUCAGGAUUUGGAGGAAGCCUGGAAAUAAAACUGCAGAGAACAGACCUGGUUAUUCAAGGAAUUGCUAAGCGAAGUCCUCUGUGAAGCAGCCAUGCAGCAGCAGGGCUGUAUCCAACAGAGCUGUAUGACUCCUUCAAAUCCUUCCUGGUGGAUCGUGAACAAGACAUGCUUUUAUGAGGGAAAACAACAAGUUUCAAAACAAGACCAGCUUGCCUGAAAGGGUGCUUCUUGAUGAACUGAAAAAUAAAGAGUGAAGGUGUUUGAAAUGGAAACAAAAACAGGCAACAAAGGAAGAAUAUGAAAGGAUCACUAAGGUGCUUAGAGACGAAAUCAGGAAAGUCAAAACCCUAAAGCCAAAAAUAGCUUCAUUAUAUUGAGCAAGAAGAACAAAUUGUAAAGGAGAUUUGGGGCUGCUGGUGUAUAAGAGACAACACAGUGUUGGUUCUGUGGAAAAAGCUGAAGUAUUCAGGGCCUUUUUCACUUUUCUUAUCACAGGCAGAACCUUCUCCCUGGUCUUUGCAAGUAUCAGAACAGUUCAGGUAGGAGCCAGUGUUGUGUGAACAAGCUAGAAACUGCUUCAUCUUGGCAUAGUCAUAUUCCUGGGACUGACCUAAAGGUGCUGGAAAAGUUGGCUGCUGUAGCUGCCUUCCUGGCUGCUGUGAUUCCAAGGCUGCUGUGUAUUGUCUGCAAAAAAAUCAUGAUGAAUGGAAAAAGCAAACAAUACAGUCAUGUUCAAGAAUGACAAAAAAUAGGAUCUGGAACGCUAUCAGCUGCUGGCUUACCUCAGUCCCUGCAAAGAUUGUGGUGCACGAUCCUCUCUUGGAACCCAUUUCUAAACUCAAACAGGACAAGGAGGUAAUCAGAAACAGACAUCCUGGUUACUUUCUGUAGUGAAAUUACUGGUUAUCAGAAUGAGGGGAAAGGGGUGGAUAUGCCUUUAGUAGGAUUUCUGACCCCAGACCUCUCAUCUGGAAGCUGAGAAAGGAUGGGCUGGGUGAUCAGACCAUGGGAUGAAUUGAAAUGGCUCUGUGCUCCGGUAGUGGUCAGUAAAAAGCAAAGUAUUCCAAGGUUGAUAAUGGAGCUUAUGUUUCUCAGUAUUUUUGUCCAUGACUUGUAUAAUAAAGCAGAAAGCACUGUUCAGUAAAUUUGCAAGCAUCAUUAAGACAAGAAGGAGCUGCUGAUACAGCAAAGGACACAGUUUAUAUUCAGACUGAGAAACUUGAGGAUUGGGCCAGCAUGAAUUUCAACAACAAGAACAAAUAUCUGCAUGUGGAAGACUGGGAACAGGCUGGCUGAGUAGCAGCCUUGCUGCAGGAGACCUUGGGAAUACAGUGAAGGACAAAUAGUUACACAGGUUGAAAAAGUGUCUGGAGGUUGACUUGUUGAAUUUUCUGGCAUUUUAAGAUCAGGUUGCUUAGGGCCUUGUCUUACUGUAUUUUGAAAAUCUCCACACCUCAACUUGAUAUAGUAUUUAUCUACCCUCAUGUUAGGAAUUUUCACUUAUAUUGAGUUGGAAUUUUCUGCACUGUCCUUCCUGCAUCUCAGAAAAGAGUAGCCCUAUUCUCACUACACUCUCCCAGUACAUUGUAGGUAGCAAUAAUAUCUCCCACAGCCUCUUUCUCCAUACUGACCAAACCCAGCUCCCUCAGUUUCUCUUUGAACAUCCUGUGCUUCAGCCUACUGACUACCUUGGUCACUCUCCUGCUGGAGUGAUCCCAAAGCUGCAUAUCUUUCUUGUACUGGAGUGAACCCAAAACAGGAUACAAAACAUGUGGUCUCACAGAGCUGGAAGGAGGGAAUAGUCACUUCCCUUGACUGUUGGCUAAACUCUUUAAAUACAGCCCAAAAGCUGGCUGUCUUUCUUCCCUGCAUGUGCACACUACUGACUUUUCCACAGGGACACCGGAGAUUUUCUGAAAAACUACUGGAAUAAGAGACAAAAGUGCACUGCCAUAAUGAACAAGGAAAAGUGGAUAAUGAGCUAUGGCACACAUUAGGAAGGUGGGGUCAAACAGUUGGAGGAAUUUAUUAUAACCCUCUCCAUGGCUCUGGUGAGACUACAUCUGGAAUGCAGCAACCUGUUUUAAGUACUGCUUUCCAAGUGGAUGUUGAGAAAUGGCAAGAGUCUGAAAGAGGCCUUCCUUCUUCAGUGGGCAGGGAUUUUGAACAGAGGGCCUUUGCAAAGGGCUUAGGUGUGGAAAAGGGGCAUGGAGGGAUAGUCUGGCAGCAGCCUAGAAAUACUUGAAUGGUGUAAAUCUAAUGUCUUUACAGUAGUGGCAAAUGAUAUGAGACAACAGCAUAGAGUUCAGCUUGAGAGGUUGGAGGAACAGGCCUAGGUCAGCCACAGAGCUGAUGGAGUUUCUGUUCUUGGAGGUUUUCAAGCCUUGGGUAGACAAAGCUGAUCUAAUACUGGCAAUUGUUUGUCUCUGAGUGGGAUUUUGAGAUGUGCAGAAGUUUGUUUCAGAAACAUUUCUGUUUCUGUGAUCUGAUGCUGUUAGGCAGAAAAACCUCAUAUGAAUAGACUGCGCUGCUCACCAGAAAUCACAGAUACUUUACAACAUUCAAGGUGGCACAGCUUACCAGCUUUCCACUGACCCCUACUGGUUCCUGAAAUGCUACUGGCAAAAUUAAUUAAGAAUUACAAUACCGCUAAUUUAUUAGAAGACUUAGGAAAACCUACACAAUGCAAGCAUUUUGCCACAGUCCUUUGUGAAAAAACACUAUUUCUUGGAAUUUGCUUAGUAUAAAAUAGCCCUGGUUUAGGGUUUGUUCAAUUUGCAAAGGUUGCCUGAGAAGUUCUGGUCUGAGGAGUGGUUCUCAUGUAAUGGUGAUGUUGUGUACUUUAUUUACACCCCAGGUCCUGCUCUCUGAUCAACAUUUAUGUCAGUUAUUAUGACCACACUGUGGCUUAAACAUGCUGCCUGGUGUUUUGUCUAGGUCAGAGCUUCCAAAUUUUCUAAUUUGGAUCCUGCCAUGGUGCAGAUGGUAAAUAUUAGCAGGGAUGGUGACAACAUCUCUUGUCUCUCUUGUGGCUCAUAUGCACAUGAGGAUAGAUUUGUACUGUGAAUGUUUUCCGAAUCCUUCUCUCACAUAUUUUCUCCUCCACAAACUCACCUGGUGGAAUUUUCUGCCACUUGUCUCUCUCCUCACACUACGUUUUGAAAGAAAUUUAGAAAACACUCCUGAAAGCGGUGCAGGACAAAAAAGAAGAUACAGAAUGCUAAUAACCAUGAAAACAGCAAUAUAGUGGACAUUGUGACCAAUUUUUAGUCUUCUUCUGUUGUUUUAUGGACUUUUUUUUUUGAAAGAAUAAGUAGAAUGUUCCUAUGAAGACCACCAAUACAGUGCCUGAUGGAGAUAAAACUUUGAGGAUUUUCACCAAACUAAACCCAAGAUUUAAUACAUUUCCUAUUCUAAAAAUUAUUUGGCAGUCCAAAAAAGAAAGUUGAGAAACACAUAUUGCUUAACAAACUGUUGAAAUAGAAUGCUUCAUAUUAGCACAUUUUGCCUUUGGCUCUGCCAGACUAAAGUGUGAUGCCUCCAACUCAUCACAGAGGCUAAUACCAACCUGGUGGGUAACUGGAUAGAGAGACCACCUGGACAUUUCCAGUGCUCUAAACACAAGUCAAGAAACUGUGGCUGAACCCUUGGCAAAUGUCUGACAAUGGAAACCUAGUGAGUGGGAAGACUUCACUUGACCCUAUUGUCAUUCCCAGCUAACAGUUUGGAGCAGAAGGAAGUUAUUGAUUUUUAUUAGUUCAUUUGAACAAUACUGUAACAAGAAGAAAUUGGGAAUAUCUUUAAUCCUGGAGACACACACAUCACAGAAUAUUGACUUAUUUUACAGAAUAAAAAUAAUUAAUUAUGUGA